rnacentral:rRNA from 1 species
UACAGAGGGUGCGAGCGUUAAUCGGAAUUACUGGGCGUAAAGGGCGCGUAGGCGGCUUUGCAAGUCGGGUGUGAAAUCCCCAGGCUUAACCUGGGAACUGCAUUCGAGACUGCAUUGCUAGAGUAUGGGAGAGGAUAGUGGAAUUCCCAGUGUAGUGGUGAAAUACGUAGAGAUUGGGAAGAACACCAGUGGCGAAGGCGGCUAUCCGGACGGUUUCUGACGCUAAGACGCGAAAGCGUGGGGAGCAAACAGG